rnacentral:misc_RNA from 1 species
GAUGAAGAGCGCAGCGAAAUGCGAUAAGUAGUGUGAAUUGCAGAAUUCAGUGAAUCAUCGAAUCUUUGAACGCACAUUGCGCCCCUUGGUAUUCCAUGGGGCAUGCCUGUUCGAGCGUCAUUUGUACCUUCAAGCUCUGCUUGGUGUUGGGUGUUUGUCUCGCCUCUGCGUGUAGACUCGCCUUAAAACAAUUGGCAGCCGGCGUAUUGAUUUCGGAGCGCAGUACAUCUCGCGCUUUGCACUCAUAACGACGACGUCCAAAAGUACAUUUUUACACUCUUGACCUCGGAUCAGGUAGGGAUACCCGCUGAACUUAAGCAUAUCAAUAAGCGGAGGA